ACACGCCAAUUUAAAUUUUUCAUCGUACAUUAAUUAAUUGUUCGUGAUUAAUUAACCUAAAAAAUGUUUUGGUCUAAUAAUACGAGUAGCAGUAGUAUUAAGAAGUCCGCUACAUAGAAUAUAAUUUAUUAUUAUUAGAAUUAUUUCCUUGGAAUGAACCAAAUGAUUCUUUUUAACUACUAGAAACUGGUGGAGGCAUUUACUGGCGCGUAUUUUCGAAAUUGCGGACUAGAGUCAUAUAGCGGUCCUCUUGCCACGAACUAUACUAUAACUGUACCUACUAUAUAUUUUGACCCAAUUAAUUCACGAUGUAGUAGUCCCGUUUCCCGCGGAUCCUCUACGAGCUUCAAAUAUCUGUUAGUUAAUUUAAUAUUAAAUUUAAGUAUAACUUUUCAAUGGAAAUCACCUCUCCCUCUUCCUGAUAGCAAGAAGAUAUAAGCCAUUCGGUAUAUUAGGUACU